GCGGUAGAGAGAGAGGGGUAGAGACAGCAGGUGCGGUAGAGAGAUAGAGGGGUAGAGACAGCAGGUGCGGUAGAGAGAGAGAGAGGUAGAGACAGCAGGUGCGGUAGAGAGAGAGAGGUAGAGACAGCAGGUGCGGUAGAGAGAGAGAGAGGUAGAGACAGCAGGUGCGGUAGAGAGAGAGAGGUAGAGACAGCAGGUGUGGUAGAGAGAGGGGUAGAGACAGCAGGUGCGGUAGAGAGAGAGGGGUAGAGACAGCAGGUGCGGUAGAGAGAGAGAGAGGUAGAGACAGCAGGUGCGGUAGAGAGAGAGAGGUAGAGACAGCAGGUGCGGUAGAGAGAGAGAGAGGUAGAGACAGCAGGUGCGGUAGAGAGAGAGAGAGGUAGAGACAGCAGGUGCGGUAGAGAGAGAGAGGUAGAGACAGCAGGUGCGGUAGAGAGAGAGACAGUCGAAGACAGCAGGUGCGGUAGAGAGAGCGACGUAGCAUGUCCGGUGAACACACAAAUAAUGUUGAAGACCCCUGCAAAUGAAUAUCAACACUUAACUGUAUAUUUAGUUUUGGAGACAUUUUUCUGCCUUCUGUGAGUUUUUAAGAAAUAUUUCCUUGUAUCUUGUAAUUCUGUUACCACAACCACAAUAUUGUCUAAAUUUCUCUCACUCAUGAGGAGGAGGAUCAUGACAGUUCACAACAACAAGUAAAGGUAGACCUACCAAUUAGUUAUAGUUAUUUUACUGAUAUACAUGUUGUUUAUGAAUUAUCAAGUGAUUGAAACUUGAAAUUCCGUUACCAAAUCGGUAAUGGAAUUUUCCCCAAACAUUUGUAACGGAAUUUCUGCAAUUGAAUUUUCUACAAUGGGCAAUCAUAGUAGUAACAAACCACAUUUGGGUUCACAAGUUUGGACAGUAGAGUAUAGUACAGUAGAGUAUAGUACAGUAGAGUAUAGUCUAGUACAGUAGAGUAUAGUAUAGUACAUCACAGUAUAGUAUAGUAUAGUACAUUACAGUAUAUAUAGUAUAGUACAUUACAGUAGAGUAGAGUUCAGUACAAUACAGUGGAGUUUAAUACAGUAGAGUACAGUAGAGUAUAGUAUAGUACGUUACAGUAGAGUAGAGUACAGUACAGUAGAGUUUAAUACAGUAGAGUACAGUAGAGUUUAAUACAGUAGAGUACAGUAGAGUUUAAUACAGUAGAGUACAGUAGAGUUUAAUACAGUAGAGUACACAGUAGAGUUCAGUAGAGUAUAGUAUAGUACAUUACAGUAGAGUUCAGUACAGUACAGUAGAGUUUAAUACAUUACAGUAGAGUAGAGUUCAGUACAGUAGAGUUUAAUACAGUACAGUACAGUAGAGUUUAAUACAGUAGAGUACAGUAGAGUUCAGUACAGUACAGUACAGUAGAGUUUAAUACAGUAGAGUACACAGUAGUGUUCAGUAGAGUACAGUAGAGUAUAGUAUAGUACAUUACAGUAGAGUACAGUACAGUACAGUACAGUACAGUUUAAUACAGUAGAGUACAGUAGAGUUUAAUACAGUAGAGUACUCAUUAGAGUUCAGUACAGUAGAGUAGAGUAUAGUACAUUACAGUGGAGUAGAGUUCAGUACAGUACAGUACAGUAGAGUUUAAUACAGUAGAGUACAGUAGAGUUUAAUAAAGUACAGUACACAGUAGAGUUCAGUAGAGUAGAGUUCAGUAGAGUUCAGUAGAGUAGAGUUCAGUAGAGUUUAGUAAAGUACAGUAGAGUACAGUAGAGUUCAGUACAGUAGAGUUCAGUAGAGUUCAGUAGAGUAGAGUAGAGUAGAGUUUAGUAAAGUACAGUAGAGUACAGUAGAGUUCAGUACAGUAGAGUUCAGUAGAGUAGAGUUCAAUAGAGUUCAGUAGAGUUCAGUAGAGUAGAGUUCAGUAGAGAUCAGUCGAGUUCAGUAGAGUUCAGUAGAGUAGAGUUCAGUAGAGAUCAGUAGAGUUCAGUAGAGUAGAGUUCAAUAGAGUUCAGUAGAGUAGAGUUCAAUAGAGUUCAGUAGAGUAGAGUUCAGUAGAGUAGAGUACAGUAGAGUUUAGUAAAGUACAGUAGAGUUCAGUACAGUAGAGUUCAGUAGAGUAGAGUACAGUAGAGUACAGUUGAGUUCAGUACAGUAGAGUUCAGUAGAGUAAAGUACAGUAGAGUACAUUAGAGUUCAGUAGAGUAGAGUUCAGUAGAGUAGAGUAUAUUAGAGUUCAGUAGAGUAGAGUUCAGUAGAGUAGAGUACAUUAGAGUUCAGUUCAGUAGAGUUCAGUACAGUACAGUAGAGUUCAGUACAGUAGAGUUCAGUAGAGUAGAGUACAGUAGAGUUCAGUACAGUAGAGUACAGUACAGUAGAGUUCAGUGGAGUUGAGUACAGUAGAGUUGAGUUGAGUACAGUAGAGUUCAGUACAGUAGAGUACAGUACAGUGCAGUACAGUAGAGUUCAGUACAGUAGAGUAGUGUACAGUAGAGUUCAGUGGAGUUGAGUACAGUAGAGUUCAGUACAGUAGAGUUCAGUACAUUAGAGUUCAGUAGAGUUCAGUAGAGUACAUUAGAGUACAGUAGAGUUCAGUAGAGUAGAGUACAUUAGAGUUCAGUAGAGUAGAGUUCAGUAGAGUAGAGUACAGUAGAGUUCAUUACAGUACAGCACAGUAGAGUACAGUAGGGUUUAAUACAAUACAUUACACACAAUAGUUUAAUACAGUACAGUACACAGUAGAGUUUAAUACAGUACAGUACACAGUAGAGCACAUGAGUUAAGUGCAACUGUACUGUACAUUUUAGUCAUUUAGCAGACGCUCUUAUCCAGAGCGACUUACAGUAGUGAAUGCAUACAUUUCAUACAUUUAAAAAAAAAAAUCGUACUGGUCCCCCGUGGGAAUCGAACCCACAACCCUGGCGUUGCAAACACCAUGCUCUACCAACUGAGCCACAUGGGACUGUACUGUGCUGUAUUCUACUGUUCUGUAAUGUACUGUAUUCUACUGUACUGUAAUGUACUGUAUUCUACUGUACUGUACUGUAUUCUACUGUACUGUACUGUAUUCUACUGUUAUUUACUGUACUGUAUUCUACUGUACUGACCUGUAUUCUACUGUACUGACCUGUAUUCUAGUGUACUGUUCUGUACUCUACUGUACUGUACUGUAUUCUACUGUACUGUACUGUACUGUAUUCUACUGUUAUUUACUGUACUACAUUCUACUGUACUGUACUGUACUGUACUGUAUUAUACUGUUCUGUACUGUACUGUAUUCUACUGUAUUCUACUGGACAGUACUGUAUUAUUCUGUUCUGUACUGUACUGUAUUCUACUGUUCUGUACUGUACUGUACUCUGCUGUUCUGUUCUGUACUGUACUGUACUGUAUUCUACUGUAUUCUACUGUACUCUGCUGUACUGUACUGUAUUCCACUGUUCUGUUCUGUACUGUAUUCUACUGUACUGUUCUGAAUUCCAUUGUAUUCUACUGUUCUGUUCUGUACUCUACUGUACUGUACUGUAUUCUACUGUACUGUACUGUACUGUACUGUACUGUACUGUACUGUAUUCUACUGUUAUUUACUGUACUACAUUCUACUGUAUUGUACUGUACUACAUUCUACUGUACUAUACUGUACUCUACUGUUAUUUACUGCCCUGAAUUCUACUGUUCUGUACUGUACUGUAUUCUACUGUACUGUACUGUAUUAUUCUGUUCUGUACUGUACUGUAUUAUUCUGUUCUGUACUGUACUGUAUUCUACUGUACUGUUCUGUAUUCCACUGUAUUCUACUGAUCUGUUCUGUACUCUACUGUACUGUACUGUAUUCUACUGUUCUGUACUGUAUUCUACUGUAUUCUACUGUACUGUAUUCUACUGUUAUGUUCUGUACUCUACUGUACUGUACUGUAUUCUACUGUUCUGUACUGUAUUCUACUGUAUUCUACUGUACUGUAUUCUACUGUUCUGUACUGUUCUGUACUCUACUGUUCUGUAUUGUAUUCUACUGUACUGUACUGUAUUCUACUGUACUGUACUGUAUUCUACUGUUCUGUACUGCUCUGUACUCUACUGUUCUGUAUUGUAUUCUACUGUACUGUACUGUAUUCUACUGUUCUGUACUGUAUUCUACUGUACUGUAUUCUACUGUAUUCUACUGUACUGUAUUCUACUGUUCUGUACUGUUCUGUACUCUACUGUUCUGUACUGUAUUCUACUGUACUGUACUGUAUUCCACUGUAUUCUACUGUUCUGUACUCAACUAUAUUGUACUGUAUUCUACUGUAUUCUACUGUACUCUGCUGUACUGUACUGUAUUCUACUGUUCUGUUCUGUACUGUAAUGUAUUCUACUGUUCUGUACUGUACUGUAUUCUACUGUAUUCUACCAUACUCUGCUGUACUGUACUGUACUGUAUUCUACUGUAUUCCACUGUACUGUACUGUAUUCUACUGUUCUGUUCUGUACUGUAAUGUAUUCUACUGUUCUGUACUGUACUGUAUUCUACUGUAUUCUACCAUACUCUGCUGUACUGUACUGUACUGUAUUCUACUGUAUUCCACUGUACUGUACUGUAUUCUACUGUACUGUACUGUAUUCUACUGUAUUCUACUCUAUUCUACAGUAUUCUACUGUUCUGUACUGUACUGUAUUCUACUGUUCUGUACUGUAUUCUACUGUAUUGUACUGUGCUGUAUUCUACUGUACUGUACUGUAUUCUACUGUACUGUACUCUAUUCUACUGUUCUGUACUGUAUUCUACUGUAUUCUACAGUACUUUAUUCUACUGUAUUCUACUGUAUUCUACUGUUCUGUUCUGUUCUUUGAUGUCCAAACUUGUGAAACAUAGACUUGUAUGAUUGGUUCAGAUUUUGUCCCGUGAUGAUAUUCCCCCGGGGGGAGUCAUACGUUUUAAGAGAUGGUUUAAACCAUGUUUUUCCCACGUGGCUGCACUUGUCAUCCUGGGACAGUCCCGUAACUCAGCCACUUGUCAUCCUGGGACAGUCCCGUAACUCAGCCACUUGUCAUCCUGGGACAAUCCCGUACCUCAGCCACUUGUCAUCCUGGGACAGUCCCGUACCUCAGCCACUUGUCAUCCUGGGACAAUCCCGUACCUCAGCCACUUGUCAUCCUGGGACAGUCCCGUACCUCAGCCCGUUUUCAAGUGUCCCAACUUUUCUUUCUACAAAAAAAGGUAAUUUUGGCAGCAAGACGCACACGUUAAUUUAGGCUACAAGAGAGUGUAGAUUCAAUGACAAUCACCGAACGUCAUUCCACUUCUUGGUGUUUUGUUCCAGAUGUCUCUUUCCGUUCCUCUAAUGGCUGGUGCGCUGUCUGGAUGCUGGAGUUAUUUUAGAGAAAUUAAAAAUGAAAAGUUAAUAAAAAAAAAUCUUUACUGUUAAAUUACUUUUUUUUUUAUCCCCCCCCGAAUGUCACAUUAUAAUUCGCACUCUGGAUUGUUCAAUUCAUUUGAAGAAUUAGAAAUGAAUUGAAUUCAAAAUUAAUCUCCUGAAUUGAUUGGAGUGAA
rnacentral:lncRNA from 1 species